GACCAAAUUUUGGAUCCUCACUCAAAUUAAAUUAUCGUUAGUUCAUUCGUCUCAUUUUGGGAAAAAUCAAAAAAUCGUUCAAAUUUAAAUUAAAAACUUAAGUCUUUUUUCAAUAACAUCUCAUUCAUAGCCUGAUAAAGCUUCCUUUAAAUGAUUUGGUCGACGAUAUUCCAUCAUUGUUUUCAUGCCAUAUUAUAAUGUUAUUGUGUUUAAUCAUAUGCAAAAGUAAUAAAAAGUUGUUUAUGUACAAUUUCACCUUCUCAAAACGUGAAUUUUGAAUAAAGUAUGACGGAUUUAAAUAUUAUGCGUGGUCAUUCACCUCACUUUAGUCCAUCUCGUUCAAAUAAUCAAUCUGAUACACAGACACUGCACGUAUAUCUACCAAAUCAUGGCUUUCGAACGAUUCGAUUUGAUGAGGCUUCUGAUGUUCGGCAAAUUAUUAUUUUGAUUGUGAACUCUAUGUCAACAAAUCAAAAGAUUAAUCCCCAAUAUUAUGCACUACGAUUGCGUCACAUCCUUACACAGGAGAUUUUAUGGAUACCUACUGAAACGCCAAUGAAUGAAGUUAUAGCACAUAUUUUAAAUACUUCUUGCUCCAAUACUCAAUGUCCGAAUAUUAUUGAAAGGACAUCAAAAACACAUAACCACAAGACAAAUGUUAUUCAUUUAAAUAGUGUGUGGAAAGCCGAAAUUCGAAUACGCUACAUACCAAAAAACUUGGAAGAAUUAUAUGAAAGAGACCGAACAACUUGUCACUUCUUUUUUGAUCAGGCUAUUGCAGACUACAUUCAUUCAAACAUAACAAAUAUCGAUCAAGAUAUAGCAAUUCAAUUGUGUUGUUUGGGUAUUCGCCAUUACUACAAAGAUACAAAUCAAUCAUCUGAUAAAAAACAUCAUAUUGAUUAUAUAGAAAAGGAGAUUGGUUUCAGUAACUUUAUACCAAAAUCUGUGAUAGAUACAAUUAAACAAAAAAAUUUGAAAAAACUGAUUCAAACGGGUUACAAGAAAGUCUGUUCUCUAUCAGAAAUUGACUAUAUACUCAGAUUUUUCAAUUUGCUGCGUACACAGUACACUUUUGACGAGGAAAAAUUUAUUAUAACUCUUGGUUCAGGAUGGAACAUUGAAGUAAAUCUUGUCAUAGGGCCGCACGUGGGUAUUUCGUAUAUAACUCAUCCGCAAGCGAGCCCUAUACGUGUGACCAAUUUUGAAAAUAUUGAAAAGAUUUCAACAUCAAUGAUUCAAAUGUCAUGUACAGAACAAAAAAAGAGUGAUGAAUUACAUAAAAUCAAUAGCAAUAAUGGUCAAGGUGCCAACGGACAAACAUUGGAUGAUCAAAAUACAAUCUCUUGUUCAUGUAAUGAAAUCAAAACUCUAUUAAAAAUCAAAGUCAAGGGUCACUCGGAUGAUUUAGCCAUUACUUGUAACGGUGUAAAAACAGCCGAUAGUAUAGCAGAUUUGGUGGACGGUUAUUGUCGUAUAAUGAAAAAUACUAAAAUAAGUUUAUGGAAUCGAUCUUCUAUACCAAACGACACAAAAGAAAAAUCUAAUCCAGAAAUCAUGGUACAACAAGAUCAUACAAAAAACGGAAAUUCACUGGAAGAUUUUGGUUCAAAAAACGCUUGUUCACUACAUACAUCAAUUGGAAUGAUAAAAAUGGACACACCAGUGCCAAUAAUGAGUGAGGAUUACGUUGAUAUUGGUCUGGGAGAAGAAGAAGAUAACGAUUAUUCACAACCAGCCGUUCGCAAUUAUGAAGUGGAUAGAACACAAAUAACUCUGAAUGAUAUUAUUGGCAUUGGACAAUUUGGCGAUGUCCAUAUAGGAACAUGUCGUAUUAUACAACUGCCAAAACCAAUACAACCCGAUGAUUCUAACAAUAGCAUUGAUAAAGCUUUGAAACCCAAUGAUAAUGAGAUGGAGAAAACCAUGAUAAAUGUUGCUGUCAAAACCUGUAAAGCGGAUGCUGACUUGCUAACAUCCGAGAAAUUCUUAGAAGAAGCUUAUAUAAUGCAGAAGUUCGAACAUCCCCAUAUAAUACGCCUAAUUGGAAUAUGCAGUGAACCUCCAAUUUGGAUUGUAAUGGAAUUGGCCCGAUUUGGUGAACUUCGUGCUUACUUGCGUGCCCAUGCUAAAAAAUUGAAACUUGGAACACUUUUAUUGUAUUGCUAUCAACUUUCGACUGCUUUGAGUUACUUAGAAUCAAAAAAAUUUGUACAUCGAGAUAUUGCUGCAAGAAAUGUAUUGGUCAGCUCACAAAAAUGCAUUAAAUUGGCUGAUUUUGGUUUAUCGAGAUGGGUCGAAGAUCAGUCAUACUAUCAUUCUGGUAAAGGAAUGUUACCUAUUAAGUGGAUGGCUCCAGAAUCUAUAAACUUCCGUCGAUUCACCACAGCAUCUGACGUGUGGAUGUUUGGAGUGUGCAUUUGGGAAAUCUUGAUGCUCGGUAUUAAGCCUUUCCAAGGAGUUAAAAAUAGUGAUGUUAUUAGCAAGUUAGAAAACGGUGAAAGAUUACCCCUUCCUAUUAAUUGUCCACCUCGACUUUACUCCUUAAUGUCACAAUGCUGGGCAUAUGAGCCAUCCAAAAGACCAGAUUUUAAAUCAAUUAAAGAAACUAUGUAUGAAAUACUGUUAGAGGAACGAGUGAGUGAUUGUGAGACUAUGAAGCGGGAAAAUAGAAGAGUUGCUGCAAUGUCAUGGGGCUGUGGACCCAUGGAGAUUCCUGUUGCAGGAGAUGAUGUACCACCCUCAAAACCGUCCCGAGUUCCACAAACCAACUCAACAUCAAUGAUAUCUGGUGAAAAUUCUGGGGCUCCACAGACAUAUAUCAUAGCUCAAAAUGCGGCAGUUUUACGACAGUUGAUGCGAGAAAAUGAAAAUCGCCCUCUCAAUCCUUCAGCUUAUAACACACCCGCAACGGUUUUUAAUACAUUGGGUGUACAUGUUGAUGCUUCUAAAAGUGAACCAAUUACUAGAGAAAUGCCUAUGUUACCACUCAAAACGGUAAUGUUGCCUGCUUCAGAGCUUUUGAAACUCAAUCCAAUGAUGGAUGAUAAUUUACAUAUAAAUAAUAAGAAUUUCAUUAUGUUAAAUAACGCCGACGAAAAGAUCACGACUUUUGAAUCUUACACACAACCACAAAGUGAUAAUUCUAAUUCAAAAAUUAUUCCCAGUUUUCCAUGUGAAAUAAUUAACACAAAAAUGCAACAAGUUCAUCCAAUUUAUACAGCAUUACAAGCAAAUAUUUGUCCAUCUCUCACGCAUUCAAAAAAUGAUUUUACUCCAAAUAAUGGAGUUUCAGUUCAGAAAUCACGAAGCUUAGAAAGAAAUGUAACAUAUACAUCACGAAUAGAUCUUGGGAAAAAUUUUGCUCAAUCAAAAAACCCCAGAUCGAAUUCUCUUACGCGUCAAUUUAGUUCGGGUAUUGAAGUAUCAACCUGUAACAACUAUACUGGGUGUAAUUUCUCUGGAAAUUCUCGUUCAGCUAGUCUGGAACGUGGAACUGCUCGCAUAGGAACAGUAAAUUAUGGAUUUCAUAUGAAUAGUUUUGAAUACAAAAAUAAACAGCAACUUUGUCAACCAUUAUCUGUUCAAUAUAUGUCAUUUGAAAAUAAACACGGGGAAUCAAGCUUCAAUCCAAAGAAUGCAGAAAAAAUUUCUCGUGGAAGUAUAGAACGAAAAAGCAAAGUUGUAGAAUCUUCGGAACCAAUUCAAGAAUCAAUUUAUGACUUUGGAGGAAAUGUGAAAAGUUGCGCUAGCAUUGCACUGAGUAAAAGUAUUUCAAAAGGACUUGUCCCCGCAGAUACAUUAUUACAACAAUGGGCAAUCUCAAACAAAUCUCCCAACUCAAAUAUAUCGCCAAAAUUGAGUUUACAUCAUGUUCAAAAUAUAACAGGAUGUCAGCCAAAUCAACAACAGGAGCAGCAGCCGCAGCUCCAUGCUCAUAAAAAUCAUUCGUCAAAUACUAUUUAUACACCAAUGUAUCCUAUGUGGUCGAAUGUUAAUUUAUCACCCGUACCAUUUAACGUUAUAAAUUCUUUUCAAAAUAAAAUGAUGAGUAUGAGUUUUACAUCUGAUGCAAGUGAUGAAUCGAAUUCGUGUCAGUCUGCUCCAAAUAAAUUCGAUGUAAAGCUUAGAAAACAGAAGUUUGAAAGUGAAGUCGAUUCUAAAUGGUUACAGGAAGAAGAGACCAACAUGAAAAAACGAUUGAGUUCAGUUUCAAGUACACAAACCAGUAAUGAACAAUUGUCAGGUAGUUUUCAUGGGCAACUAAAGCACUCAGAGCACGAGGAGCAGAACAUUUCAACUGCAGAACAAAAUCAACAAAAGAAUAUAUCAAAAACAUUAACUAUUGAUCGAUCUAAUGACAAUGUUUAUAAUGCAACAACAAGUGUGGUAAAAGCAAUAAUGUACCUAACCCAAGGUGUGGAAAAGGCAGUUGUCGUUGAAUAUUUAGAUUUAGUACGAUAUGUUGGUGUCGAACUUAGGACUCUCCUUUCAUCGGUUGAUGAAUUAGCCUCGGUUUUCCCUCAGCAAGCUCUCAAAGAAGUUGAAAUGGCCCAUAAAAUUCUAGCAAAAGAUAUGUCCGAGCUAGUUUCAACGAUGCGCUUGGCUCAACAAUAUAACGAUACAACGUUGGAUGUUGAAUACCGGAAGAAUAUGCUAUCGGCUGCUCAUGUGUUAGCAAUGGAUGCGAAAAACUUGCUAGAUGUAGUUGAUUCUAUCCGGAUUAAAAAUCCAAAUUUAUUCAUUGAAGAAAGAUCAAAUUCUUUAUCUGAAAAUGUAUUAGAGACUGAAGUGAAUACUUCUCUUGAACACAACGAUUGGACUGAAGAACAAGCAUAUGAAAAUUUGAAGAAUGAACAUCAACCAAUAUCAUAUCAAGAUGAAAUUUAUGUUAAUCAACAGCAGUGUGAUAACAAGAGUAGUUCAAUAAACAGUACAUCAUUGUCUGUUGAGAGUACUCGACAAGAUUGAAAUUAAAUGUUAUCGUUGUAUACAAAAAAACUGUACAAACAGAAUAUAAACUAGAUCAUUGAAUGUUUGGGAAUCGUCGGAAUAGUGAGAAUAGUAAGAAUAGGGAGAAUCAUGGAUUAGCUGUAUAUUUUUCAUUUGCAAACGGUGUCUACGCCCUAGAAUAUCUAAGACCAUAUUUGAAUCACAGUUUCUAAAAUGAUAUACUGACAACGAGUGGCAAAUAACGUUAGAAAAUUAGAACAGGGCGACAAAUGCGAUUCUGUUGAAGCAAAGGGGAGACAGACUAAUACAACAGCUACAAAUCAAAUCGAGUGACCAUUGCAAACGGUAGUUCAAGUCAAACCGCGAAACCUGACACUUUACAAGAUCAAGCAGGCAUAAAUGAAAAUACCUUAUAAAUUAAAAGGCAACGAUAAUUACACAACAUUUAGACCAAGGCGGAAAUAAUCAAAGUAUCUUUUUACAUAACGUAAUUAACAAAUUAAAGAAAUUUGUUGUUUCAAAAUAAACAUAGAAAGCAUAUUA